rnacentral:rRNA from 1 species
UACGGAGGGUGCAAGCGUUAUCCGGAUUCACUGGGUUUAAAGGGUGCGUAGGUGGGCUGGUAAGUCAGUGGUGAAAUCUCCAGGCUUAACUUGGAAACUGCCAUUGAUACUAUCAGUCUUGAAUACCGUGGAGGUCAGCGGAAUAUGUCAUGUAGCGGUGAAAUGCUUAGAUAUCUGGAGGAACACCGGUGGCGAAGGCGGCAUCCUGGACCAACACUGACGCUGAGGAGCGAAAGCCAGGGGAGCAAACGGG